GAUGAACGCUAGCGGCAGGCCUAAUACAUGCAAGUCGGACGAUAGAUAGAAGCUUGCUUUUAUCGAAAGUGGCGCACGGGUGCGUAACGCGUAUGCAACCUGCCUUUAUCAGGGGGAUAGCCUCUCGAAAGAGAGAUUAACACCGCAUAACACCGUUUCCCGGCAUCGGGGGAUGGUCAAAUAUUUAUAGGAUAAAGAUGGGCAUGCGUGACAUUAGCUAGUUGGCGGGGUAAGGCCCACAAGGCGACGAUGUCUAGGGGAUCUGAGAGGAUGGCCCCCCANACUGGUACUGAGACACGGACCAGACUCCUACGGGAGGCAGCAGUAAGGAAUAUUGGUCAAUGGGGGCAACCCUGAACCAGCCAUGCCGCGUGCAGGAAGACGGCCCUACGGGUUGUAAACUGCUUUUAGUACCAGAAACUAAACCCCCGGUGAGACCGGGGCUGAAUGUACGGUAAGAA
rnacentral:rRNA from 1 species